AGCCUCUGGCAAUGGGCAAAGAGACACCUUGUUGGUGAUGGUAUUCUUCUAUCAGCCAGAGGCAGAGCAGAUGGCAAUUCUUUGUUCAUCCUAGCUUGUUACCUGGCUUGGUGCAGAGCUGUUUUAUGCCUAGCAUUCAUUA